UCAUCGGAAGCAUAGUGGUCAGUAUCCCGCCUGUUACGUGGAAGACCCGGGUUCGAUUCCUCGCCGGGAA